rnacentral:rRNA from 1 species
UACAGAGGGUGCAAGCGUUAAUCGGAAUUACUGGGCGUAAAGCGUGCGUAGACGGUUAUGUAAGUCAGGUGUGAAAGCCCCGGGCUCAACCUGGGAAUGCCAUUUGAGACUGCAUAGCUAGGGUACGGAAGAGGGAAGCGGAAUUUCAGGUGUAGCGGUGAAAUGCGUAGAUAUCUGAAGGAACACCAGUGGCGAAAGCGGCUUCCUGGUCCAGUACCGACGUUCAGGCACGAAAGCGUGGGGAG